CUGCUACUAAGAAAAGAUCUCUCUCUGGAGAUUGCUCCUUUUGGAAUUGUAUUCUGCAAGCCCAGGGCAAAGUUUUCUCAAGUGUUCUCCAGAAAGCUCCAUCUGAUGCAACUCUGGUUCCUCCUUCUCCUCGUUGAAUUGUGGCCACAAUCAGCUUCCCACAGCACUAGCACCUUAAGACACGUGGUUCUUGCAUGUGAGCAACCUCAUACGCAGAUCAAGAGGUCUUCAGGAGCAACAGAAGCCACAAUGAGCUGCUUCUGCAGUGCCACUGGCCGGAGCCAGCACAGGAGCAGUGCCAGUUGGCAGCCUGUUCUGCCUGAAAAGAGGAAGGGAUAGAAGGGGAACCUUCCGGCAUGGAGUUGUCUGGUGCUUUCUCUGUUUUUUGCUAAGCCGAGACAGAUUUAGAAACAAAAUGUUCAGAAAAAAAGGACUGGAAGGGUUUUCUGUAGAAAAAUAUUGCAAUGAAAUACUGUGCCUUGUCAAUUUUUUCCUUCAUGUUCUUGAGUGAAACUGUUGCUGGGAAUUUGACCUCAGGACCCAGAGAGUUUCUGUGAAUCGCAACUUACAUUUCAGGCAAGUGAGAUACCUACAAUAUGUCAGCACAAGACUGCUGGCCAUUUUCCCUACAAGAAUACUGAGCCCUCUCAUAUGUCGCUGAGAGAUUAGAGUGUAACUACUUCUGUUUGUUUUUUUUUUUUUGUUUUAAGCAAUUUCCUUUAGUGCUCAUUGAAUUGCUCCACGAUACACUGAGCAACUUGUUUUCAUAUUACUAAUGCAAUUCUGCUGGAUGAGAAAUUUGUCGCAAAGCGUAUUCUCGGUUUUAAUCAAGCUCUCUUGGCCAAGGAAAGAAAGAUAUUUGAUAGGAAGAUGGGGAAAUGAAUGCAAGGAAAAAGAUUUCUCUUUUCUGUCUACUAUCUGAAAAAUAAAAAUACAUAAUUUUAUUAUAAUUCAUAUAAUUCAUGUAAUUCUGCUGGCCUGGCUCUGCUGAGUGCCAGUUCCAGUCACAAAAUCUCAGGACUGUGGUGCUUUGAAGUCAACCGAGUUGCGCACGGGCAGUGCCAUAAAAAGAAGAAAAUAGUCAGAAAGAAAUGUAAAAGCCAUGUACACCAUUUAAUUGACAUGACUUUGGAAACGCCUAUGUGAGGCCUACGUGAGCAAAGUAAUUAAAGGUCAAGCACAAGGGAGAGCAGGAAGAAAACUGAGAAGUAGCAAUUAAUUUAAAAUAUUUUGAUGUUUCUCUGUGCAAAUUCCAUAAUUUUCCUAACACAACACAACCUAGAAGUAACAUUUUGCAGCUUCAGGAUGCUACUCUGUGCUGGAUACAGACACCUACCAAAUACAGUAUAUCUAAGAGAUGAAUAAAAGAAUCAAUUGUUUCAGCUUCGGCAUGAUGGUGAACUUUGGUGGCAUCCUACUAAAACACAUAACAUUUAUUGCCAUGAUAAACUGCUCUUGAGGGAGUGAUUUCCCUGCCCUCCCAGCUGGAGCUGUCGUGCUGCAAUGACAGAGUGGGUAAGGAAGGGACAGAACAAUAGCGAAGUCAAGGAGCUGGAGCCUGACCUUAACAGAGUGGGUGGUAUUUGCUUCAGUCCAGAAAAGCAAAUAACUCAUUCAAAGGUGAUAGAUUUUACUGGGGAGUGGAAAUAACAAAGCUGAGAAAUAAAAUAGAGCAAACAGAGUAUGAAAGCAUAUUAAAGUAACUGAAGGGGAGGAAGCUUUUCAGUAGAUUUGAAUAUCAAGGGAGGAAAGAGAAAAAGAGAGAAAAAUAAAAGAUAAAAUAGAGGAAAGCGGAGAAAGGGAUGGGGA